UACGUAGGGUGCGAGCGUUAAUCGGAAUUACUGGGCGUAAAGCGUGCGCAGGCGGUUCGCUGUGUCCUGUGUGAAAGCCCCGGGCUUAACCUGGGAAUGGCAUGGGAAACUGGCGGGCUGGAGUGUGGCAGAGGGGGUGGAAUUCCGCGUGUAGCAGUGAAAUGCGUAGAGAUGCGGAGGAACACCGGAUGGCCGGAAGGCAGCCCCUGGGCUAACACGUGACGCUACGAGGCGACGAAAGCGUGGGGAGCAA
rnacentral:rRNA from 1 species